CCCUGUAUCGAAAGUGAUCAUGGCGUCUCUGUAGCCAGGUCAUUGAUAGUACAGGAACAAUAACCUGGGAGCAUUUUCCCGUGUUUGAAGGAUUGUUGGUUCCUUUUGAACCCUGGAGCUCUCAGACA
ensembl:snoRNA SNORA71 Small nucleolar RNA SNORA71